rnacentral:rRNA from 1 species
UACAGAGGGUGCAAGCGUUGUCCGGAUUUAUUGGGUUUAAAGGGUGCGUAGGCGGCUUUUUAAGUCAGCGGUGAAAUACUUCAGCUCAACUGGAGUCGUGCCGUUGAUACUGGGAAGCUUGAGUACUGAUGAAGUGGGUGGAAUUGAAGGUGUAGCGGUGAAAUGCAUAGAUAUCUUCAAGAACACCGAUUGCGAAGGCAGCUCACUAAGGAGUAACUGACGCUGAGGCACGAAAGCGUGGGUAGCAAACAGG